rnacentral:tRNA from 1 species
GGGGAUAUAGCUCAGUUGGUAGAGUGCUUGCCUCUUAUGCACAAAGCCCUGGGUUCAAUUCCCAGCACCA